GCACCUCGGUGGUGUAGUGGUAACACGACGCCUUGGUAAGGAUAAAACGAGGGUUCAACUCCGGCGCGGUGCU